ACGCUCGACACCUACGGGAGCAGCAGUGAGGAAUAUUGGUCAAUGGACGCAAGUCUGAACCAGCCAUGCCGCGUGCAGGAUGACGGCUCUAUGAGUUGUAAACUGCUUUUGUACGAGGGUAAACGCAGAUACGUGUAUCUGUCUGAAAGUAUCGUACGAAUAAGGAUCGGCUAACUCCGUGCAGCAGCCGCGUAUAUCGNGNGGCGNGNGAGAG
rnacentral:rRNA from 1 species